AGUGAACGCUGGCGGCAGGCCUAACACAUGCAAGUCGAACGGCAGCACAGUAAGAGCUUGCUCUUACGGGUGGCGAGUGGCGGACGGGUGAGGAAUACAUCGGAACCUACUUUUUCGUGGGGGAUAACGUAGGGAAACUUACGCUAAUACCGCAUACGACCUACGGGUGAAAGCAGGGGAUCUUCGGACCUUUCGCGAUUGAAUGAGCCGAUGUCGGAUUAGCUAGUUGGCGGGGUAAAGGCCCACCAAGGCGACGAUCCGUAGCUGGUCUGAGAGGAUGAUCAGCCACACUGGAACUGAGACACGGUCCAGACUCCUACGGGAGGCAGCAGUGGGGAAUAUUGGACAAUGGGCGCAAGCCUGAUCCAGCCAUACCGCGUGGGUGAAGAAGGCCUUCGGGUUGUAAAGCCCUUUUGUUGGGAAAGAAAAGCAGCAGGUUAAUACCCCGCUGUUCUGACGGUACCCAAAGAAUAAGCACCGGCUAACUUCGUG
rnacentral:rRNA from 1 species